CUGACGGGAGCCUCCUGUGUCCCUGGCAUCCCUAUCGGACGCCGGCUGGUCCUUGCCCUGCCACCGCCAUCAGGCCUUGCUGCGCCCUCCUCCGGCACAGUCAUUGCCCUAGCAAAGACGAUAGAUUGCAAGAUUUGGGUGGCUAAGAACUAUGGGUGAGAUCCUGGCUGCACUGAACGCCUUGGCAACAUUCCCAUUUACUUGGGACGAGAGGAACCGCUGCAAACAGUUUGCGGCCAGG